rnacentral:rRNA from 1 species
UCUAACCGUGCGAAGAUAGCGUAAUCACUUGUUCUUUAAAUGAGGACUAGUAUGAAUGGCCCCACGAGGGCUGCACUGUCUCCUUUUUCUAAUCAAUGAAACUAAUCUCCCCGUGAAGAAGCGGGGAUAAUUCUAUAAGACGAGAAGACCCUAUGGAGCUUUAAACAACUGAAACACUUGCUUUUCCAUUAACCUCUUCCGAGUUCUUUACUUCACUCAAGCACUUUUAUUUCUAGUUUUAGGUUGGGGUGACCACGGAGCAAAACUAAACCUCCACGAAGAAAUGAAUACUUUUUAAGCCACAAACUACUUUUUUAAGCAUCAACAAAUUGACCUUCAUUGACCCAAUAUAUUGAUCAACGAACCAAGUUACCCUAGGGAUAACAGCGCAAUCUACUUCAAGAGCUCGUAUCGACAAGUAGGUUUACGACCUCGAUGUUGGAUCAGGGUAUCCU